rnacentral:rRNA from 2 species
GACGAAGGAUGCAAGCGUUAUCCGGAUUCAUUGGGUUUAAAGGGAGCGUAGGUGGUCUUGUAAGUCAGUGGUGAAAUCUUCCAGCUUAACUGGGAAACUGCCAUUGAUACUGCAGGACUUGAGUACAGAUGCUGUGGGCGGAAUAUGACAUGUAGUGGUGAAAUACAUAGAGAUGUCAUAGAACACCGAUUGCGAAGGCAGCUCACAAAACUGUAACUGACACUGAGGCUCGAAAGUGCGGGGAUCAAACAGG